CCUACGGGAGGCAGCAGUGGGGAAUAUUGGACAAUGGGGGGAACCCUGAUCCAGCCAUGCCGCGUGUGUGAAGAAGGCCCUCGGGUUGUAAAGCACUUUCAGUGAGGAAGAACGCCUGGUGGUUAAUACCCAUCAGGAAAGACAUCACUCACAGAAGAAGCACCGGCUAACUCCGUGCCAGCAGCCGCGGUAAUACGGAGGGUGCGAGCGUUAAUCGGAAUUACUGGGCGUAAAGCGCGCGUAGGUGGCUUGAUAAGCCGGUUGUGAAAGCCCCGGGCUCAACCUGGGAACGGCAUCCGGAACUGUCAAGCUAGAGUGCAGGAGAGGAGGGUAGAAUUCCCGGUGUAGCGGUGAAAUGCGUAGAGAUCGGGAGGAAUACCAGUGGCGAAGGCGGCCUUCUGGACUGACACUGACACUGAGGUGCGAAAGCGUGGGUAGCAAACAGGAUUAGAUACCCCUGUAGUC
rnacentral:rRNA from 1 species